rnacentral:rRNA from 1 species
UACGUAGGGUAGCAAGCGUUAAUCGGAAUUACUGGGCGUAAAGCGUGCGCAGGCGGUGAUGUAAGACAGAUGUGAAAUCCCCGGGCUCAACCUGGGAACUGCAUUUGUGACUGCAUCGCUGGAGUACGGCAGAGGGGGAUGGAAUUCCGCGUGUAGCAGUGAAAUGCGUAGAUAUCAGGAGGAACACCGAUGGCGAAGGCAGGUCUCUGGGCUGACACUGACGCUCAUGCACGAAAGCGUGGGGAGCAAACAGG